UGGGGAAUAUUGGACAAUGGGGGAAACCCUGAUCCAGCAAUGCCGCGUGAGUGAAGAAGGCCUUAGGGUUGUAAAACUCUUUCAGUCGUGACGAUGAUGACGGUAGCGACAGAAGAAGCCCCGGCUAACUCCGUGCCAGCAGCCGCGGUAAUACGGAGGGGGCUAGCGUUGUUCGGAAUUACUGGGCGUAAAGCGCACGCAGGCGGUGUAGUUAGUCAGAGGUGAAAGGCUUGGGCUUAACCCAGGAACUGCCUUUGAUACUGCUAUGCUUGAGUCCGGGAGAGGGUAGUGGAAUUCCCAGUGUAGAGGUGAAAUUCGUAGAUAUUGGGAAGAACACCAGUUGCGAAGGCGGCUACCUGGCCCGGUACUGACGCUGAGGUGCGAAAGCGUGGGGAGCGAACAGG
rnacentral:rRNA from 1 species